rnacentral:tRNA from 1 species
CCUCUCAUAGCGUAGUGGUAACGCGCCCCAACUAGAGAUCGGGGAUUCGUGAGUUCGAUUCUCACUGAGAAGA